rnacentral:rRNA from 1 species
UACGAAGGGGGCUAGCGUUGCUCGGAAUCACUGGGCGUAAAGGGUGCGUAGGCGGGUCUUUAAGUCAGGGGUGAAAUCCUGGAGCUCAACUCCAGAACUGCCUUUGAUACUGAAGAUCUUGAGUUCGGGAGAGGUGAGUGGAACUGCGAGUGUAGAGGUGAAAUUCGUAGAUAUUCGCAAGAACACCAGUGGCGAAGGCGGCUCGCUGGCCCGAUACUGACGCUGAUGCACGAAAGCGUGGGGAGCAAACAGG